UUUCUAUAAUUUUUUUACACAGUUUGGGAUGUAUUACUGCUGCCUUUAUUAUGGAAACAGCAGCCCAGCCUGUUCUUUACUUCCUGUUCUGAACACUGGCAUGAUUUUUAAAACUAUUGGGAUGCCCUAGUCGAGCCACACUUUAAAUCUGUCUUCAAAUAGAUUUUCCAGCUUUUCUUGAGUCAUUAAUCUAAAACAGCACACAUUUUUAGCUUUCUUCUUUUUUUAUGGUAUUAUUGACUUUUCCAUUUCAAAAUAGCACUUGAGCCAGGGUUCAGUUUAUGUCUGUGGGCCUCAGUGUGGCAGGACCUUUCAGGGGGCUCUCUUGCACCAGUGACUUGGGUGAAAGUAUUUUCAUCAUGGAAGUAGUCUAGUCAAACCCAGGGCAGUGGGAGGCGGGACUCAGCCAGAGAUCGGCCAUGCUGUGGACGUUUGCUCCCGGCGCCUGCGCAGUGGGCGCGUUCUGGCCAUUGCUGCGUCCCUUCCGCGUCAUCAGGCGAGGGAGGAGAAGGCGACAGAGAUAACCCCAAAUUAGCGCUGCGCGGAUCCUUGGCUAUCAGAACACCACCUUCUUCGGCGGAGACCACAUAACCAUGAUCGAUGACCUCUUCUGGCCCUGGUUCGAGCGGCUGGAUGUGUACGGGAUCGCAGAGCCCUCCUGGCUGCUGGCUCCUCCGUGUUGUGCCGAGUAAACAGUUCCCAGGUGCUACUCCCUGCCAGCUGGACAGAAAUGCGUCUGCGUGGUGAAGCUGGGCCGUCUGCAGUGCCAUCUGCUCCGGAUGUGGAGUCCCGUUGCCAUGGUACCCAAACUGAUGCGGGACAGAAUCUCACGAAGUCACUAAGUUGUACAGGCUGGGCUUGGAUUUAUGAUCCUCCUGCUUCAGCCUCCCAGGAUGCUGGGAUUGCAGAUGUACAUCACCCCGCCCAGCUCUCCUCUCUACAGAGGAAACUGAGUCACCGAUUUCUGGAUGAAACUAGAACUUAGCCCAUGGGAAAGAGAAGCGACUGAAUAACGCUCAAUGAGGAGCUUGCAUUGGGAGACUGGGGGCAGAAAUAAUACCAUAGGUUAAAAAAUACACAAAUAUACAAAUAGGAAAUCUGCUCUGAUCUGUGUCUCAGAGAUGACCACUUUUAACACCGGGUGUUAUCUUGUAAGAUGCCUUUCAAAGCUCAGGGUUGAGGGCAGGAGCUGCAUCUCCUGCAGACCGGAAGAGGAGAGAGUGCCGGUGUGGACCAUGUCAGCAGCAGAGUCAGCUGCGGCUGCCCUGCCUCCGAAGCUCUGAGCUGGAGCCCAGCUGGCCCAGUCCGGUUCCGUCCAGCGGAGGAGGGCGUCCCUGGCGCCUGGGUGUUUUGGAAACUCCUUCUGGCACUCGCAUUCCCUGACCCCAGAUGACAGAAGUGGCUCUGACAGCUGCAGGGCACUUGACAUACAUUGUGGGUCACAGGCGAGAGCUCCCCUUCCGUGCUGCGGGGCUGCCUGCCCGGGGCUGGCUUGGGAGUGGUCUCUCCCCUGAUUUCUCACCUUCAGCCCUGUCCUUCGCCAGAGUCACAGCCUCCUUGAUGGAGGGAACUGGGCUGCUGGGUGGUGAGAGCCAGGCUCCCCUCCCCUGAGGCCAGACCAGCCUGCUUUGGUUUGUGAUUGGAAUUCUGAUUGACCCCAGGGCCAUGGUGCUGAGGUAUGUAUGCCCCAGCCAUUUACUUCUGUUGCUGCUCUUUUGAGACAGGGUCUUGCUAGUCACUACUCACCCAGGCUGGGCUCGGAUUUGUGAUCCUCCUGCUUCAGCCUCCUGAGUACUGGAACUAUAGGCGUGUGCCACCACGGCUGGCUGCAUACACUUCUUCACAGCCUUUCGAGGCAAACCCUAAUUACUCCCAUUUUACCGAGGAACAGCUGAGGCUUCAGAGUGGUGUAACUUACACAGAUGUCCCGUGGGUGGUGAUGCGCACAGCUGGAGCUUGGGUGGGACUGACCCCGGUCCUGUGUGCCCUUGACCGCUGCCCUCCUCCACCUCCCGUGGCCGUGAUGCCUCACCUCUGCCUUCCUGACCCCCCUGCUUCUCCCUGGACUGGGAGCCCUCUCUGGCCGGAUUGUGCCCCUCAGCUUCGUUUCCCCAGCCUGGUACACAGGAUAUGUGGCAGUGACAGCCUCCCAAUGUGUGUUUUGUGAAUGAGAAGUGCAGGGACAGGCUGGGGUGAGCGGAUGAAGGCAUGGACGUGCCCAGGGCCUGUCUGGCUGUCACAGCUGCCUCCCCUGUCCUGAGAGGAACCUGCCCGCCCAGAGCAGUGGGAGUGACCCGCUGGGUGCAGAAAUGACGGGACUCCCUGGGCAGUGCUGCUGGGACCCGAACACAGCCCAAGCUCAUCCUGCUGGGAGACCCCGAGGCCCAGUGGGCAGGCCCUGGCCCGGGUCCACCCUGAGGGGCCGGGAGGCAAGGCAGGUGCUCUACUCUUCUCCAUCCUCUCUGGGUCAUUAAACGCUCAGCUGAGCAUUCUUGCUACUCGGCCUCUGUGUGUGCUCUGUAUAUAUGGGCAGUGGAGCUUCCCGCCCAGCUA
rnacentral:lncRNA from 1 species